GCCAGGUGUGGUGGUUCACACCUGUAAUCCCAGCUACUCGGGAGGCUGAGGCAGGAGAAUUGCUUGAACCCAGGAGGCAGAGGUUGCAGUGAGCUGAGAUGGCACCACUGCACUCCAGCCUGGGCAACAAAGCAAGACUCUGUCUUAA
ensembl:misc_RNA Metazoa_SRP Metazoan signal recognition particle RNA